GAGUAGUUGCGUUAAGGAUUGAAGCGGCAUCCUUUUGCUUUUUUGCAAAAGAUAUAGCGAAAAGCCUGACUUGAG
rnacentral:sRNA from 1 species